GAGGCACUCGCGUCGUACGCCUCCAUCGACUGCGCCGAUUCCAGUUGCGGGAAGUGUCGUAGACCCAGGUUUCUGUCACGCAUAUAAAAUUGACAAGUUUUACACGCAGUGCAGUGUUUAAAAAAAUUAAUUCUUCAAUAUUAUAUCCCGCAAUUUCUAUCGUCGGGAAUAAACCACGGUCUUUCAAUCGUGUUCGCCUGGCCACGAUUUACGCAGUAAAGCCGCGACAACCUGUAAGGCGACUCGGUGCAACCUGGACGACCUGCCCGAGCGUGACUCAGGUGAAUACUCGACGGGGUUGUCGGCAAUGCGACGCGCUCGUCUGAGAUGUAUCAAUGGCGUGCAUUACUUGGGAAUUUCUAAAGAGCAGUAGUUGGAAACCGUUGAAUUCAUUGGAAUGUGUUGACUGGAAAAAGUGGACAAACAUAAAUCUUCUGUACAUUCUACGAAUUUACAUUGUUUUGUGGCGAUAAAAGAAGCGCUCGUCGUUUGGAUACUCUAUCGCCGGUAUCAGAGUCCCGAUAUUUCCCGUUCUACCGAGUAAAUAUACACAAGGAUAUCUCGACGGAGAGGAAACUUGCAGUCUCGGAUAGACGACGAUCGAGCAUCUCUUCCAGACAGGGGCAGGGCUGCGUGUUCAAUUAAAGGCGCAACAGUGUGUGACACGGACAACGAGGGUAAACUAUAGACUUUGCGAAAUCGUAACUCAACGCCGCUCGUAUCAACAGUUUGUGCAACGUGAGAAGCGCGGAGCGAAUCGGCGGGCGCCGUGUCCGGGCGCUCGCAAGGUGUAAUGUUAAGCCGAUGUACCAUAAUCGUCCUGGACGCUCGGGUGUCUUUCCGUUCCGAGGCCAGCCCGUGGCGAAGCCGGGCUCUCUCGCUACCCACGGGAACAGUGAUGUAGCCGAAGCGCGCGAAGCCCUUAGCGCGAAGCUCAUAGACGAGGCACUUCAACUUUCGUUAACGUCAAGUGCCACGACCACACGGUAAAUAACGUCAAAUAAAUCCGAUAGACGUGACCCAAGCGUGACUCUUUAAUCUAACGGUGCACAGGAAGAGCAAAAAAAAAAAAGGUUCAUCAGUGAUGUAAAUGAUUCGUCGAGUAAUUUUUAAAUUCUAAUUUAAGAAUUUUUCUCUCAGCAAUUUCCGAUCCUUGAUCUCCGCCGUUUUUUCUCUCUGACGCAACGAGAAAAUGAGUGAUGACGGCUCUCCGUAUUCCUGUGAACUAAAUAAUAUUGUAGAAGACAGUAGCUAACUACGUCCCUGCCCGCGGAACUGGUAUACACACGUACACGCGCGUGUUUAUGUAGUAUAUUGCCGUUUAUCUAAGCCCACGCGAUCGCCCCGGCGAUAUUAGCCGGUGUAUAAAAUGCAUUUGUGAUCACGGCGGGAAUGUAAACGGCGCGCUCCGGCAUACGCCGUCCACCCCUCCUGCGUCGUGGAUUGGGCACGAAUUAUCAACGAUAAAGUAUCUCGCUGGCUCGCGCUGAACAAGACGUGCCCGGGCAAUGUAGAGUGCAAUAAGCGCCGCUGCGUCUAUUACGGAAUGAGCCGAGAUUGCCGAUUCUGUACGGCAGCAUCUCACAGUCAUGCACGCGCGUAGUUAUAAUGAGCUUGGUAAAGUGAGAGAGAUAUAUAUGUAUCUAAGGUGCAUGUGCAUAACGAUGCACUUCGCUCGACUACUCGAGUACCCGCGCUUGCAUAAUCCCAACGACACGGGAGCCGGUGGAGUACUAGCUGCCGAAUCGUAAAAUGCGAUCAUAAUGCGCGGAGGUGAUUAAAUGUUAGAUUUCAUAACGUUCAGAGCGAUGAUUUACUCUCGCCGUUAACAUGCACAAAAAUAAGAGCGUUGGUUGAAAGAACUGGCAUGUUGAAGGAAACUGAUAAGAAUGCAAAAUUUAUCCUCGAGAAUCAACGAUUCGACUUUUAUUCCACGAAAUCUCGAGAUGUUAGAUUAGUGUUUGAUAAAAAAAAUUAAAUUUUUACAAUCUUUCGCAAGAUAAAAUUUUUUUUCUAAUUAAAAAUUUAAAUUUAUGCUGAAAGUAUGUAUUUUAUAAAUUGUGAACUUGCUUUGUUUAUUGUACAUCUGUUUAUUGCACAGCUUAGCAUAUCUAUCCAAGUUUCUUAAAACGAUGACAGAGUAGAUAAGACGCUAAUUUGCGAUGCAGAUCACGGUGCUAGAGUGCAGGGAAGUACAAGAGGAGAGACAAAGAGCAAAAUUUGCGUAGAGAAUCUUAAAUGCGCGAAGGCGGAUUAGAGUGGUCGAUACGGGUAGAUCGUUAAUUGUAUUUACUAGAUAAAACAGCGGGCCGAGAGAGCGUUCGAGAGUCGCGUCGAGCGAUUCCAGAGAGGGAAUCGGCCCUAGAUUUUCACGAAGAGCGCCAAGAUGAGGACUCGAGCCCUCUUAACGAAGCUGGAAGCUAAGGACGGUGUACACACACUCGAGGUGCACAUACGCAGAAGAAAACGAGAGCCUGCCCACGAGGCCGAGAGAGCGGCGAGAGGAAGGACAGGGGGAGAGAAAGAGAGAGAGAGAGAAAAGACGGCCGUAGGGCGCAGAAGAGGCAUCGCAAACGGCGAAAGAGAGAAAGAAGCGAGACGCGAGAAAGAAGAAGGCCGGAGAAAAGCAGAGAAGACGGGAGAUUCGAAGCUGGACGCGGGGAGAGCACGGGGAACGCGAGUACAGUGAGACCGGUUGACGAUUGUCAAUACGGCCUGCAAGAGGAUACGACUUGCUAGAAGACAAUUCAGUGGAACUAAGGGAAAAAAAAAGCCAGUCAACUUCGUAAACACGGAGUGUUUAACAAAAAAAUACUCUGCCUUUCAACACGAUUGAAAUUAACACUGGCAGGUUUUACACAAUAAGUGGCGUUACGGAGUAUUUGAUAAAAAAUAUUUGAGGACGUGACGCUUUGCGGAAUAUUUGAUAAAACCCACCCGAUCAAAUGAGCGAAAAUGAUCAAGCUGAGCGGAGAGUUCUGUAAAGGAUUACAGCGACGCCGAAGAGUAAUUACGUGCCAUCAAGAAGGAGAGAGAGCUCUUUUUAACAAGAACGUAAAAGGAACACAAAAGAAACGCACGUCGGACAUUGUAAUCGUUGAUUACACUCACUGUACAUGCAGCUUUCUUGAUCGACAAGAAGAUGUAUAAAAUCCACUUAGAAAUGUGGCUUCAGAAACGAUUGCGGAAGAAAGUCGGAAUUGUCUCCGCGCAGGAUCGCAUAACCGUCGGCGGGAAAUCUUUUUUUGCGUGCUGUCGAGUAAUCAUCCAGGAUAAUCGCAACUGGUCCGAUCUAAGGAUCUAUGAAUCGAUAACGGGAAAGUACACGACGAAUUAUCAAUUAUACUAAACGCUGAGAUGACCCUCUUGCCGUUUAAUUGAAUAAUUACUCACCGGAACGGAACGAGCUGCGGUCGUUAAGUGUAAGAAAUAAUUGCGCUCCAGCUCGGCUCACGGCAGACUGACUCCGUAACGUUCUCGCUGGCGUCUUCGACCGCAAAUACCGAUAACAAUAUGGCCACAAUUUUCUUCGGGGAACAAACGACGCACCUCAAUUAGGGAUCCGGCAAGUCUGUUUGCCUGGCGUCGGCACGCAGCCCAG
rnacentral:lncRNA from 1 species